rnacentral:tRNA from 1 species
GCCCAUGUAGCUCAGUGGUAGAGCACUCCCUUGGUAAGGGAGAGGUCGCCAGUCCAAUUCUGGCCAUGGGCA